CUCUCUCUAACCCUCGUUCCCCUCUCUUCCCCUUCCUCUCCACUUCCCCCCUCUCUCUGUCCCCCUCUCUCUCUCCCUCUCUCCCCUCUCUCUAACCCUCGCCUUCCCCACUCUCUUCACCUCCCUCCUCCUUUCUCCCCCUCCCUUUCCUGCUCUCCUCAUUUUCUCUCUCUCUCUCUCGCAGUGCAUGCUGGGAGUUUUUGGGAGUUUGAGUGUUUGGUGUGGAGGGCUCUGUCCUAACUAACUUUCUUGAUUAUUUUCUUUACAUGGUAUUUUCUAUGGUGGAGGGUUAAUGCAAUAUUUGUUUUAGUGGUAUCCACAGCUUUUUCAAAGUUAGGGUGGAAGAGGACAGAGUUAGUUUCCUGGGGUUUGGAAGGUGUGGUGUGCGCGGAGGAGAUGCUGUCGAUAUGGCAUGGAUUCAGGUGUGUUCCUGAGAAUGGAGUUAAGGUGGAGGAGGUUCUGCUCACGGUCGGUGAACAGUGGAGCGAUUGGAGAGGCAGUCUGCAGAGCUGAGACUGGCCCCACAGCAGCCAUGGAGAACACAUUCAACACACGGAGAUAACCACACAGCACCGGAACAGCAGUCUACGGCAUUGCAGUGCUAGAGGCAUCACUACAGACCUGGGUUCGAUCCCGGCCUGUAUCACAACCGGCCUAGAUCGGGAGUCCCAUAGGGCGGCAGACAAUUGGCCCAGCGUCAUCUGGGUUAGGGGAGGGUUUGGCCAGGGUAGGUCGUCAUUGUAAAUAAGAAUUUGUUCUUAACUGACUUGACUGGUUAAAUAAAGGUUAAAUAAAUGAAAUAAUCUCCAUAUGGCAUUGAUGUAUACAUGAUGGAUAUGUGGAGUAACUAGCUCAACUCUAGAUUGGUUUUCUUCAUCGAAUCGGACUGAAAAGUAUGUUUAAAAGCCACAGCUGCACACACACACACACACACACACACACACACACACACACACACACACACACACACACACACACACACACACAUCAUUGGUUGUGUGUCUCAGCAUGGGCCCAUUUCCAAUCAAAGCGCUGGGGUCAGCAGUAAGGAUGUCUCUAGAACUGUUUUCUCUAAUCACUAACUGAUUAGACAUUUCACACUGAGACAGACCUCAUCAGAAUCCUUCAUGUGUUCAGUCACACAUCUAUGCAAGUUUGUGUGUGUGUGUGUGUGUGUGUGUGUGUGUGUGUGUGUGUGUGUGUGUGUGUGUGUGUGUUUUAAUGAGAGUCUGAAGUUAAGUUUUGGCUAGUUGGCUUUAGCGUCCAGCAGAGACAUAAACAUGUUGAUAUCUCUGAUGUCCAUCAGAUGUUGUUUUUACUGGAAAUAUCAGUUCCCCAUCUGAAAAGUUUAGGUCUAACUUGUAUUAUUCAAUGAAAGAAAGUGAGGACCUAACCAAAUGUUUCUACUGGUUCUUUUAACUAUCUGGGAAUUAUGGACUAACGUUUGGCAGAGGACUCUAAAAAGUCCUGUUUUGUUGUCUGUGUGUGUGUUUGUGUAUAGCCACUGUCCAGGUGAUAAAUAUGUCCCUAGGAGGGGUGUGUCACUUGAGUGGGUUGAGUCACUGACGUGAUCUUCCUGUCCGGGUUGGCGUCCCCCCCCUCGGGUUUGUGCCAUGGGGGAAAUCUUUGUUGGCUAUACUUGGCCUUGUCUCAGGAUUGUAAGUUGGUGGUUGAAGAUAUCCCUCUAGUGGUGUGGGGGCUGUGCUUUGGCAAAAUGGGUGGCGUUAUAUCCUGCCUAUUUGUCCCUGUCCGGGGGUAUCGUCGGACGGGCCACAGUGUCUCCUGACCCCUCCUGUCUCAGCCUUUUUAUGCUGCAAUAGUUUGUGUUGGGGGGCUAGGGUCAGUCUGUUAUAUCUGGAGUAUUUCACCUGUCUUAUCCGGUGUCCUGUGUGAAUUUAAGUAUGCUCUCUCUAAUUCUCUCUCUCCCUUUUUCUCUCUCCUUCUCUCUUUCUCUCGGAGGACCUGAGCCCUAGGACCAUGCCUCAGGACUACCUGGCCCGAUGACACCUUGCUGUCCCCAGUCCAUGCUGCUGCUCCAGUUUCAACUGUUCUGCCUGCGGCUAUGGAACCCUGACCUGCUCACCAGACGUGCUACCUUGUCCCAGACCUGCUGUUUUCAACUCUCUAGAGACAGCAGGAGCGGUAGAGAUACAAAUGAUCGGCUAUGAAUAGCCAACUGACAUUUACGACUGAAGUGAUGACCUGUUCCACCCUCUACAACCACUGUGAUUAUUAUUAUUUGACCCUCCUGGUCAUCUAUGAACAUUUGAACGUCUUGGCCAUGUUCUGUUAUAAUCUCCACCCGGCACAGCCAUAAGAGGACUGGCCACCCCUCAUAGCCUGGUUCCUCUCUAGGUUUCUUCCUAGGUUCCGGCCUUUCUAGGGAGUUUUUCCUAGCCACUGUGCUUCUACACCUGCAUUGCUUGCUGUUUGGUGUUUUCGGCUGGGUUUCUGUACAACACUUUGUGACAUCAGCUGACGUAAGAACGGCUUCAUAAAUACAUUUGAUUGAUUGAAAUAAAUUUGAUUGUCUAGCUGUGGGCUGAUCAAACCUGAUGAGGUAUUGUGAUGAAUCAGGGUGUAAUGGUGUCUGAAACGGCC
rnacentral:lncRNA from 1 species